GAUGAACGCUGGCGGCGUGCUUAACACAUGCAAGUCGAACGGAAAGGCCCAAGCUUGCUUGGGUACUCGAGUGGCGAACGGGUGAGUAACACGUGGGUGAUCUGCCCUGCACUUCGGGAUAAGCCUGGGAAACUGGGUCUAAUACCGGAUAGGACCACUUCUUGGAUGUUGUGGUGGAAAGUUUUUUCGGUGUGGGAUGAGCUAGCGGCCUAUCAGCUUGUUGGUGGGGUAAUGGCCUACCAAGGCGUCGACGGGUAGCCGGCCUGAGAGGGUGUACGGCCACAUUGGGACUGAGAUACGGCCCAGACUCCUACGGGAGGCAGCAGUGGGGAAUAUUGCACAAUGGGCGCAAGCCUGAUGCAGCGACGCCGCGUGGGGGAUGACGGCCUUCGGGUUGUAAACUCCUUUCGCUAGGGACGAAGCGUUUUGUGACGGUACCUGGAGAAGAAGCACCGGCUAACUACGUG
rnacentral:rRNA from 1 species